UACGAAGGGGGCUAGCGUUGCUCGGAAUCACUGGGCGUAAAGGGCGAGUAGGCGGCCUUCUAAGUCAGACGUGAAAUCCCCCGGCUUAACCUGGGAACUGCAUUCGAGACUGCGUAGCUAGGGUGCGGAAGAGGGAAGCGGAAUUUCCGGUGUAGCGGUGAAAUGCGUAGAUAUCGGAAGGAACACCAGUGGCGAAAGCGGCUUCCUGGUCCAGCACCGACGUUCAGGCACGAAAGCGUGGGGAGCAAACAGG
rnacentral:rRNA from 1 species